CCUCUUUUGAAAGAUAAAUCUUUCUUCUUUGGCAAGAAUCUGGAAUUAUUUCAAUUUCUUCUUCAUAUCGAAAUCUUCUGCCCUAAUUCUGUCUGUCGUCCUUCAGCCUUACGAAAUCUUCAUCACAAAGGUGAAGUUAGAAUUGAUGACAACGUUUUCGGAGAAAGGUCUGGUGGCAAGAAGAAAGACUUUCAGGCGUAGAGCGGAAACUGCUGGAGAGGUGGAGGCUUGCAAGCGAUGUAACUGUAAGAAAUCCAAGUUUUUGAGGCUGUAUGUGACUUUGUUGAAGAAGCAACCAGUGAUAGUGUUUUGGUGGAAAACUUGGAGGGGUCGGUGACGUUGUCGAGGUUGUCAGGAAAUGCAAAGUGAUAGCAUUUCCUAACAACCCUCGACAAUGUCACCGACCUCCUAAUCUGAGCGUGACCCUCUUAAAAUAUAAUGUUUUGCAACUUCACCAUGAAUAGAGAAGAAAGAGACAGUUGGGGUUCUUGCUCCAGUUGUGUUGCAGCCGAAUCAAUGGCAAAUUCAGCAGCAGUAGUUGUUGAUGCAUGAAUAUGAAGAUUGAAUUUGUGAGGUUCAGUUAAUAAUCGACUCAUUGAAGUUAUAUUAUUUA